UUUUGUCUCUUGUGCAAGUGCAUCACCCGCUUAUUGAUAUAGUGCCGGAAUUAAUUCAUUUCCGUUCGAAUAUUGAGAAUAAUUUAGCAAGCCGUAUUUUAGAUCUAACAGCUUUCAUAAAAAAUAAUACUGCAAAGAGUAUCCAGGGGAUUGUACUUUCGAGAUUCAAAUGGGUUUUACAAGAAACUGGGAUUCCUCCUGCCCUCGAGUUUGGAACGCAUGGCAGACGGACGGUACGAAAUGGGUUAUACAGGACCUGGCACCAGAAGACGACGAUACAGCUCUUGAAAUACUUGUAAACCAUCUCCUACCUGAUGAAACUUUGUGUAAUCUCAGUGAUUUCACAGAAGACGCGAUGAGUGUUGAAAGUAUUGUUACGUAUUGGAAGAAAUGCCUGUCUCAGCGAAUGAGCCUCGGCUGUUACACCGACGUCGAUGGUAAGAAAACCCUAGUCGCCCUAAACGUGUGCAUCGUGGAACGCAUCGAAGACAAAUUCCCAACCGACGAGAUAAAAGGCGCCGCAUGGAUAAAUGUUCUUAAAGCGCUGGAGUAUGUUGAAGCCAAGUGUAAUUCCUUCGAGUAUCUUGGCGUGGACGAACUAUUGUACGCACUUGGUCUAGUUGUGAAGACUGAAUAUAGAGGGCACAAAUUGGGGAGCAAAAUUUUAGCAGCUAGGGAACCUCUUUGUAUAUCUCAAGGUCUAAAAGUAACCUCCACAGUGUUUACCGGACCAGCUUCACAGAAGUCAGCAGCAAGGUGUGGGUUCGAGACAAUGGUGACGGUAUCGUUGAAAGAAUUCGCAGAACAAGGGUUGAACUACCCGCCAGAUGAAAAGAGAGUUGUCAAAGUGAUGUACAAAAGAUUUGAUUGAAUCUAAGCCACUGAUUUUAUAUAGUGAAUUAAUUGCAUUGUAUAUGUUACCGGCCAAACCCGGACAAACUAGUUUCUACAAGGCUAAAUCGCUUUCGUCUACGCGUGUUGGGAUAUACUUAGCCCCAGACAAUCUAGUUUGGCCUUAUUAGAUUAAUUAGCUUGGAUUCGGAUUUGGAUGGCCAUAUAUACACCUAGUAUUAUCAUCAAAGGCAGCACCGAGUCUAAAGAUAUUUUUUUUGUCUAUAAUAUUAGAAUAUUUUAUACUUUAAACACUCGCCCUUCAAGCCGGAACACAGCAAUAAUAAGCAUUGCAUACAUGCUGCUUGGCUACCGCCAAGUCUACCAGUCUGGGCUUGCAUAUAAUUUCUGAUUAUAAUUCAUGUUGUGGUUGACGGUGAAGGAAAACAUCGCGAGGAAACCUGCAUGUAUCUAUUUUCACUAAAUUUCUGCCACAUGUGUAUUCCACCAAGCCGCAUUGGAGUAGCGUGGUGGAAUACGCUCCAAACCUUCUCCUUAAAAAGGGAGAGGAGGCCUUAGCUCAGCAGUGGGACAGUUAAAGGCUGUUAUUUUUUUUUAAUUAAAUUUUUAUACUGGUAUAUAUUGAUAUGAGAUUAUGUAUGAGAAUUAAAUGUUCCGUAGAAAUUGUUCGUUGUUGUUUUGUAUGUAAUUCACUUAGAGACUAUUUUUUUAAAACAAAGUAUUAGUUAGUUUUAAUAGAAAGUCGAGAUGGCCUAGUGGUUAGAACGCGUGCAUCUUAACCGAUGAUCGUGGGUUCAAACCCGGGCAAGCACCACUGAAUUUUCAUGUGCUUAAUUUGUGUUUAUAAUUCAUCUCGUGCUUGACGGUGAAGGAAAACAUCGUGAGGAAACCUGCAUGUGUCUAAUUUCCUUGAAAUUAUGCCACAUGUGUAUUCUACCAACCCGCAUUGGAGCAGCGUGGUGGAAUAAGCUCCAAACCUUCUCCUCAAAAGGGAGAGGAGGCCUUAGCCCAGCAGUGGGACAUUAACAGGCUGUUACUAACUAACUAACUAAUAGAAAGUCAAACUAUGCUUUACUAAGUGUAUACACUAACCACACAAAUUACCGCUGCUGUAUAUUUUAUACGUAAAGAAUAAUUUAUUUUUGUUUCAAAUUUAUAAACUAGUGUCAAACAAAAGCCGACUUGUGUUUUUUUUUUACUAUUGAUAGGCCAGCGUUUGACCGUUGACUAGCCUGAUGUUAAGCAUCGACACGGUCUAAGAUGUAGCACGGUUGCCUAUAAGAAACCUGUUUACUCUUGAUUUGAAGACACCAACACUGUACCUAUCAGGAAAUACGGACUCAGGCAAAGCAUUCCAUAGUUUCGCAGUGCGAAUGAUGAAUGUGGAUUCAAAGCGCUUCGUACGUAGGCGGGGAAUUUCCACUGUGUACCUAUGACGCUUUGGUCGCGUUUGCCUGUUGCGUUCGAUAGUAAAAUUGUGGUCCACAUUAUCUAUGACCACAUUUAACAUCUCUGGUCUGCCGCGAUUAGUUAAGGUAGAAAUCUUAUAUUAAAUUUUUAGCUAAUGUGACCGUACCGGUGAUUAAGCCCUUUAUUUUCUUCGUCAUUUACUGUCCAAAAAAUGUCAUAAAUUAUACAUAAUAUAUUUUCUUAUUAAUUUACAUUAUAACUAAUUUUGAAAUUAUUCCAAUAAAAAUGAAACGCUUA